rnacentral:rRNA from 1 species
UACGAACCGUACAAACGUUAUUCGGAAUCACUGGGCUUAAAGAGUCCGUAGGCGGCCUGUUAGGUGAGGUGUGAAAUCCCCCGGCUCAACCGAGGAAUUGCGCUUCAAACCGGCAGGCUUGAGGAGGAUAGAGGUGGGCGGAACUGAUGGUGGAGCGGUGAAAUGCGUUGAUAUCAUCAGGAACACCGGAGGCGAAGGCGGUCCACUGGGUCCUUUCUGACGCUGAGGGACGAAAGCUAGGGGAGCGAACGGG